rnacentral:lncRNA from 1 species
CCCAAAGAUUGUGAAGCGGGCUGGUUACGACUCAACUCCGUAUAAACCUAUGGAAAUCACAGUAGCAAAUGGCGCUAAGAUGUAUUGUGAGCACAAAUGUGAUGGCAUGCUAUGGGUAAUGCAAGGGAAGGAGUUUCAGUUUGACAUGAAAGUCAUGGAGGUAGGUUCGUAUGAGGGGGAGAUUGGAUUUUGUUGCUAUAAGAAGGAAGGGCCAAUUAUUUUCUCAACCAGUGCACCAUCCAUAACAUUGGUGAAG